UCAAGUUAUUAAGGGUGCAGGGCGGAUGCCUUGGCACUAGGAGCCGAUGAAGGACGUGAUAAGCUGCGAUAAGCUUCGGGGAGUUGCACGUAAACUUUGAUCCGAAGAUUUCCGAAUGAGGAAACUCACUUAGAGUAAUGUCUAAGUAUCAUUAAGUGAAUACAUAGCUUAAUGAGGGGAACUCAGGGAACUGAAACAUCUAAGUACCUGAAGGAAGAGAAAGAAAUUCGAUUCCGUAAGUAGCGGCGAGCGAACGCGGAUUAGCCCAAACCAAUAAAGUUUUCUUUAUUGGGGUUGCGGACAUAUCAUAACGAAGAGGUAUCGUAAUUGAAGAGGUUUGGAAAGACCCACCACAGAAGGUAAUAGUCCUGUAUGUUAAACGAGAAGACUUUAGAUAUGAUCCAGAGUACCACGGGACACGUGAAACCCUGUGGGAAGCAGGAGGGACCACCCUCCAAGGCUAAAUACUACCUAGUGACCGAUAGCGUAUAGUACCGUGAGGGAAAGGUGAAAAGAACCCCGGGAGGGGAGUGAAAUAGAACCUGAAACCCUGCACUUACAAGCUGUGGAAGCACAUUUCUUGUGUGACCGCGUACUUUUUGUAGAACGGGCCAACGAGUUACGUUAAGUAGCAAGGUUAAGCACUUAAGGUGUGGAGCCGUAGCGAAAGCGAGUUUUAACUGAGCGUUCAGUUACUUGACGUAGACCCGAAACCGGGCGAUCUACCCAUGAGCAGGAUGAAGCGAAAGUAAAAUUUCGUGGAGGUCCGAACCCACGAGCGUUGAAAAGCUCGGGGAUGACUUGUGGGUAGCGGUGAAAUUCCAAUCGAGCCCGGAGAUAGCUGGUUCUCCCCGAAAUAGCUUUAGGGCUAGCCUCAAGGUGAGAGAUACGGAGGUAGAGCACUGAAUGUCCUAGGGGGUAUUGCACCUACCGAAGACUAUCAAACUCCGAAUGCCGUCAUCUUAUACUUGGGAGUCAGACUGUGGGUGAUAAGAUUCAUAGUCGAAAGGGCAACAGCCCAGAUCGUCAGCUAAGGUCCCUAAAUGUAAGUUAAGUGGUAAAGGAUGUGGGAUUGCACAGACAACCAGGAUGUUGGCUUAGAAGCAGCCACUCAUUCAAAGAGUGCGUAAUAGCUCACUGGUCGAGUGAUCCUGCGCCGAAGAUUUCCGGGGCUAAAACUUACUACCGAAGCUACGGCAUCAGUAAUGAUGGGUAGGGGAGCUUCCCAUACGGGUUGAAGCAUGACCGUAAGGACAUGUGGACAGUAUGGGAGUGAGAAUGUUGGCAUGAGUAGCGAGAUGUGGGUGAGAAUCCCACAGGCCGUAAACCCAAGGUUUCCAGGGGAAGGUUCGUCCGCCCUGGGUUAGUCGGGACCUAAGCUGAGGCCGAAAGGCGUAGGUGAUGGACAACAGGUUGAUAUUCCUGUACUACCGAUAACCGUUUGAGAGAAGGGAUGACACAGUAGGAUAAGCUAAGCACACUGUUGGUUAUGUGUGCCCAAGCAUUGAGGCAGUCAAAGUAGGCAAAUCCGCUUUGAUAAUGCUGGGAUGUGAUGGGGAGCGAAAUUUAGUAGCGAAGUAGCUGAUUUCACACUGUCAAGAAAAGUCUCUAUCGAGGUUAAAGGUACCCGUACCGCAAACCGACACAGGUGGGUGAGGAGAGUAUCCUAAGGCCAGCGAGAGAACUGUUGUUAAGGAACUCGGCAAAAUGACCCCGUAACUUAGGGAUAAGGGGUGCCACCAUCAGGUGGCCGCAGAGAAUAGGCCCAAGCGACUGUUUACCAAAAACAUAGGUUUCUGCUAAGUCGCAAGACGAUGUAUAGGAGCUGACGCCUGCCCGGUGCUGGAAGGUUAAGGGGAUCUGUUAGAGCAAUCGAAGCAGUGAACUUAAGCCCCAGUAAACGGCGGCCGUAACUAUAACGGUCCUAAGGUAGCGAAAUUCCUUGUCGGGUAAGUUCCGACCCGCACGAAAGGCGUAACGAUUUGGGCACUGUCUCAACAACAGACUCGGUGAAAUUGUAAUUCCGGUGAAGAUGCCGGAUACCUGCGACAGGACGGAAAGACCCCAUGGAGCUUUACUGUAGCUUGACAUUGGGUCUUGGUACUACAUGUACAGGAUAGGUGGGAGGCUUUGAAACCAGGACGCCAGUUUUGGCGGAGCCAUCCUUGGGAUACCACCCUUGUAGUACUGGGACUCUAACCAUAGGCCAUGAAUCUGGUCUUGGGACACUGUCAGGUGGGCAGUUUGACUGGGGCGGUCGCCUCCCAAAAGGUAACGGAGGCGCUCAAAGGUUCUCUCAGUACGGUCGGAAAUCGUACGUAGAGUGUAAAGGCAAAAGAGAGCUUGAUUGCAAGACAUACAGGUCGAGCAAGGAUGAAAAUCGGACUUAGUGAUCCGGUGGUUCUGCGUGGAAGGGCCAUCGCUCAACGGAUAAAAGCUACCCUGGGGAUAACAGGCUUAUCUCCCCCAAGAGUCCACAUCGACGGGGAGGUUUGGCACCUCGAUGUCGGCUCAUCACAUCCUGGGGCUGUAGUAGGUCCCAAGGGUUGGGCUGUUCGCCCAUUAAAGUGGUACGCGAGCUGGGUUCAGAACGUCGUGAGACAGUUCGGUCCCUAUCCGUCGCAGGCGUAGGAAAUUUGAGAAGACCUGUCCUUAGUACGAGAGGACCGGGAUGGACGUACCUCUGGUGUACCAGUUGUUCUGCCAAGGGCAUGGCUGGGUAGCUAUGUACGGAAUGGAUAAGCGCUGAAAGCAUCUAAGCGCGAAGCCAACUUCAAGAUAAGAUUUCCCACCGCAAGGGUAAGACCCCAGAAAGACUAUCUGGUUGAUAGGUCGAAGGUGUAAGUGCAGCAAUGUAUUUAGCUUAUCGAUACUAAUAGGUCGAGGACUUGACCAA
rnacentral:rRNA from 1 species